rnacentral:rRNA from 1 species
AGUGAACGCUGGCGGUAGGCCUAACACAUGCAAGUCGAACGGCAGCACAGUAAGAGCUUGCUCUUACGGGUGGCGAGUGGCGGACGGGUGAGGAAUACAUCGGAAUCUACUUUUUCGUGGGGGAUAACGUAGGGAAACUUACGCUAAUACCGCAUACGACCUACGGGUGAAAGCAGGGGAUCUUCGGACCUUGCGCGAUUGAAUGAGCCGAUGUCGGAUUAGCUAGUUGGCGGGGUAAAGGCCCACCAAGGCGACGAUCCGUAGCUGGUCUGAGGGGAUGAUCAGCCACACUGGAACUGAGACACGGUCCAGACUCCUACGGGAGGCAGCAGUGGGGAAUAUUGGACAAUGGGCGCAAGCCUGAUCCAGCCAUACUGCGUGGGUGAAGAAGGCCUUCGGGUUGUAAAGCCCUUUUGUUGGGAAAGAAAAGCAGCAGGUUAAUACCCCGCUGUUCUGACGGUACCCAAAGAAUAAGCACCGGCUAACUUCGUG